UGGAUCCACACUUUGUUAUGGCUCAGGACGAACGCUGGCGGCGUGCCUAACACAUGCAAGUCGAACGAAGCUUGAUUUAUGAUUUCUUCGGAAUGAAUAAUGAUAUGACUGAGUGGCGGACGGGUGAGUAACGCGUGAGCAACCUGCCCUUCGGAACGGGAUAGCGUCUGGAAACGGACGGUAAUACCGUAUAACGUAUUUUUACCGCAUGAUAGAAAUACCAAAACUGAGGUGCCGAAGGAUGGGCUCGCGUCUGAUUAGAUAGUUGGUGGGGUAACGGCCUACCAAGUCGACGAUCAGUAGCCGGACUGAGAGGUUGAACGGCCACAUUGGGACUGAGACACGGCCCAGACUCCUACGGGAGGCAGCAGUGGGGAAUAUUGCACAAUGGGGGAAACCCUGAUGCAGCAACGCCGCGUGAAGGAAGACGGUUUUCGGAUUGUAAACUUCUGUUCUUAGCGAAGAUAAUGACGGUAGCUAAGGAGCAAGCCACGGCUAACUACGUGCCAGCAGCCGCGGUAAUACGUAGGUGGCAAGCGUUGUCCGGAAUUACUGGGUGUAAAGGGAGCGUAGGCGGGAAGCCAAGUCAGCUGUGAAAACUACGGGCUUAACCUGUAGACUGCAGUUGAAACUGGUUUUCUUGAGUGAAGUAGAGGUUGGCGGAAUUCCGAGUGUAGCGGUGAAAUGCGUAGAUAUUCGGAGGAACACCGGUGGCGAAGGCGGCCAACUGGGCUUUAACUGACGCUGAGGCUCGAAAGUGUGGGGAGCAAACGGGAUUAGAUACCCUGGUAGUCCACACUGUAAACGAUGAUAACUAGGUGUGGGGGGUCUGACCCCUUCCGUGCCGCAGCUAACGCAAUAAGUUAUCCACCUGGGGAGUACGACCGCAAGGUUGCAACUCAAAUGAAUUGACGGA
rnacentral:rRNA from 1 species